UUACGGCCAUAUCACGUUGAAACACCGAUUCCCUUAUGAUGACUGAAGUUAAGCCAGGUCGAGCCUGUUCAGUACAUAGAUGGGUGACGGCUUGGGAAUAUCAGAUACUGUAU